rnacentral:rRNA from 1 species
AGCAGCCGCGGUAAUUCCAGCUCCAAUAGCGUAUAUUAAAGUUGUUGCAGUUAAAAAGCUCGUAGUUGAAUUUCGGGGUUAGUAGGUUGGUCAUGCCUCUGGUAUGUACUGGUCUCACUGAUUCCUCCUUCCUGAUGAGCCGUAAUGCCAUUAAUUUGGUGUUGCGGGGAAUUUGGACUGUUACUUUGAAAAAAUUUAGAGUGUUUAAAGCAAGCUAACGCUUGAAUACAUUAGCAUGGAAUAAUGAAAUAGGACGUUCGAUCCUAUUUUGUUGGUUUCUAGGAUUGACGUAAUGAUUAAUAGGGAUAGUUGGGGGCAUUAGUAUUCAAUUGUCAGAGGUGAAAUUCUUGGACUUAUUGAAGACUAACUACUGCGAAAGCAUUUGCCAAGGAUGUUUUCAUUAAUCAAGAACGAAAGUUAGGGGAUCGAAGACGAUCAGAUACCGUCGUAGUCUUAACCAUAAACUAUGCCGACUAGGGAUCGGAUGAUGUUAAUUUUUUAAUGACUCAUUCGGCGCCUU